rnacentral:lncRNA from 1 species
UAUAUAUAUAUAUAUAUAUAUAUAUAUAUAUAUACUGUUUAGGUGAAUAGUAAUUUUUUUCCAUUUUACAAAAUCUUUAAAAAAAAAAAAGAAUUUUCUUAGAAUUAUUGUUCUCUGUCUUAAUGAUUUGAAUGACAUGUAACUGAAAAGACUUCAGGUAAGGAGGGGGGUCACAAACGGACCGCUUAAAUCCCAAGCUCACCUUUGAUACUUUAGGUCCUUUUGACAGAGUUUUUCAAUCUUGUGGAUACGCAAAUCAAAGAAACUCGAAACAAUAAUUGGAAAAAAGAGAUUUAUAAAAAUAUGAUUUUUUUAUAAUAUACGCACGCCCUUUUUUUUUAACAUAUUAACAAGCAUACUGAGACAUAGAUAAACACAUGCACACACUAAUUGAUAAAUAAGUACAACAUGAAUGAGUGUUUUGAAAUAUCAAUUCAUUGGUAAGACAUCUGACAAAUAUAUAAAAAUUCAUACCUUAUAUAGUCAAUGUGGGAGGCAACAAAGGACAUAUAAAUAAAUAUACUAUGCAAAAUGUCAGAUGCCAAUGACCAAAUGGUCAAUUCAGUCUAAAUAAAAAAAUUAAAGUGGCUCCAUGAAUCCAAUUGGUCAAUUCAGUCUAAAUAAAAAAAUUAAAGUGGCUCCAUGAAUCCAAUUUUCUGUACUGCUCACGUGAACAGUGCCAGUUACUGUUCAUGUGAUUUUUAAAUUUCUUUUUUCUUUUUUGAAAAAGUCUACAGGAAAGUAAAAUCGGGCUCUGAUACCAUACUAUAAUGCCCCAAUUUUUCGUUAAACACCGAAAUGUUAUGAAAAACUCAUUUCUCUUUAUCUUAAAUGCGGAACUAUAAAAAAAAAAUUUUAUUAAACAAAUAACUGCAAUAUUUAUAAAUCUAAAUUGAAAUUGUGAAAAUCGUAUCUAAACAUACACAUAAACUUUUGGCUAAUUCAAAUAACACAUUCUAAACAAAUUAAACUAACUCGUAAAUUUAAAACGACAAUCUUAUUUCUUUUUCUCUAUUCUUUAUCCACUUGGCAGCCCGCAUCACCAAAUCACCAUUGUUCCAAUCGACCUGAACUAAACUAUAAAAUUAAUGUAAGAGUGAGUAUUUAAAAAUACCCAGUAAGGUACGUGCAAUUUCCAUACACAAUUACAUAACAAAUAAAUUAUACACUUCAUACCGCUAUUCUCUUAUGGAGUAUAUCGGUGACCAAGCGACACACCCAUCUUAGGUCCUCUUAAAUUCCCAUAGAAAUAUCAUACCUCUUUCUCUCGAACCUGAAUGUCUAUUAGUAAUCCAUGCAUAUUAAUUGUAUAUAAGAGCAUAAGGAAACUUAAAACACUUUGCACAUAAAUGUAUCUUACUUCGUUAGAAAAAUCUGAAUGCAAGUUCAAAAUAUUUUCUCCACUUUGAAAAACACGUGAUUAAAAUAUUUGCUGUAUGAAAACUUUAUUUCCAACACUUCCCUCUCUCUUCCCCCUCUCUCUAGGUUGCUUUCUGUCGUGCAGUGAGCCUGUAUUUUUCUUUCCCCUUUGAUUAUCUCUCUCUAUCUCUCUGCCGUAUAUAACAUAAGAAAUU